rnacentral:sRNA from 1 species
ACGGAACGGGCCUCGGGGUAAACCCCAUU